GGCCGCUCUGCAGGCUGCGCGGGCCCUUCAGCUAAGGCGACAGAGCCUUUCGUUUCAUAAUUAGAGAAGAGGCUUGGACACAAAAGUGGUUGGGAAGGAGCCACUGGGACCGAGAACUCCACUCAGUCAUAAAUGAAGGGCAAGAUAAUGAGUUCUCACCACGUG